GGAGAGUUGGCUGAGUGGUCGAAAGCGGCACCGUGCUAAGGUGUUAGGGGAGCAAUCCCCUCGUGGGUUCGAAUCCCACACUCUCCG
rnacentral:tRNA from 1 species